AAACAAACGUAAACGCGUAUCGUUCAAACUCCGUGAACGACACGGAGAUGGAAACACGGUCGGUGGAGCCGCGCAGACGAUUACGCGGAAAGUUUCACGUGAUGGGACUUUUCCGGAAUCACCUACCGGCUUCCGGGAAGAUUUUCCGCCCGUCCGGCUGUGCGGACUCAAGGAGAGAAAGGAAAAAGCAUUCCUCUGUGUAACCACACUUAGGACCUUUAAAAAGAUUCAUUAAUAUCUGCACACCGGUCCACGUCCGCCUCCCCAUGCAGAACUCCGUGAAAUGAAUAAAGCACCACAGCCUCUAACAGGACCCCCCUCCAACCCCCACCCCGCCCCCUCCCCCGGCCUGUCACAGGUAAGAGGUGCCAUCGG